rnacentral:rRNA from 1 species
UGGGGAAUAUUGGACAAUGGGCGAAAGCCUGAUCCAGCCAUGCCGCGUGUGUGAAGAAGGUCUUCGGAUUGUAAAGCACUUUAAGUUGGGAGGAAGGGCAGUAAGCGAAUACCUUGCUGUUUUGACGUUACCGACAGAAUAAGCACCGGCUAACUCUGUGCCAGCAGCCGCGGUAAUACAGAGGGUGCAAGCGUUAAUCGGAAUUACUGGGCGUAAAGCGCGCGUAGGUGGUUCGUUAAGUUGAAUGUGAAAGCCCCGGGCUCAACCUGGGAACUGCAUCCAAAACUGGCGAGCUAGAGUAGGGCAGAGGAUGGUAGAAUUCCAGGUGUAGCGGUGAAAUGCGUAGAGAUCUGGAGGAAUACCGAUGGCGAAGGCAGCCAUCUGGCCUAACACUGACACUGAGGUGCGAAAGCGUGGGGAGCAAACAGG